rnacentral:misc_RNA from 1 species
GAGGAAGGAGAAUUCAGAAUGUUUCGACUGCUGACUUUUGAUCACGUUGAGUUCAAGUAACUUUGUUGAUGUAAGAAGAUUAUAAAAAUAAAACCUCAUGCAUAAGGUAAUUUUCACUUUGUUAUAAAAACAAUAAUUGCUCUAAAGCAGUUGAAUCAUGGAAUAUCUUUGGCGAAUAGAUUAUAAACCCAAAAUCAUCUCAAUAAACAAAUCCAAAAACCAGAUUUUUUUUUCGGUGAUGUCAUUACCUCCUAAGAUAGUAA